rnacentral:rRNA from 1 species
GACAGAGGGUGCAAACGUUGUUCGGAAUUACUGGGCGUAAAGCGAGUGUAGGCGGUGUGGUAAGUCGGAUGUGAAAGCCCCGGGCUCAACCCGGGAAGUGCACUCGGUACUGCCACGCUAGAGUAUCGGAGAGGUUGGUGGAAUUCUCGGUGUAGAGGUGAAAUUCGUAGAUAUCGAGAGGAACACCGGUGGCGAAGGCGGCCAACUGGACGAAUACUGACGCUGAGACUCGAAAGCGUGGGGAGCAAACAGG